UACGUAGGCAGCGAGCGUUGUUCGGAGUUACUGGGCGUAAAGCGUGCGUAGGCGGUUGUCUAAGUUUGGUGUGAAAUCUCCCGGCUUAACUGGGAGGGUGCGCCGAAAACUGGGUGACUGGAGUGUCGGAGAGGUAAGCGGAAUUCCUGGUGUAGCGGUGAAAUGCGUAGAGAUCAGGAGGAACACCAAUGGCGAAGGCAGCUCACUGGGACGGUAUUGACGCUGAGACGCGAAAGCGUGGGGAGCAAACAGG
rnacentral:rRNA from 1 species